rnacentral:rRNA from 1 species
CCUACGGGCGGCAGCAGUAGGGAAUAUUGCUCAAUGGGGGAAACCCUGAAGCAGCAACGCCGCGUGGAGGAUGAAGGCUUUACGAUUGUAAAACCCUUUUGAUAGAGAAGAGAAUGACGGUAGCUAAGGAAUAAGCACCGGCUACCUCCGUGCCAGCAGCCGCGGUAAUACGGAGGGUGCAAGCGUUACUCGGAAUAACUGGGCGUAAAGAGUGCGUAGGCGGGGUAAUCAGUCAGAUGUGAAAUCCUGUAGCUUAACUACAGAACUGCAUUUGAAACUGUUACUCUGGAGUGUGGGAGAGGUAGGUGGAAUUCUUGGUGUAGCGGUCAAAUCCUUAGAGAUCACGAGGAAUUCUCAUUGCGAAGGCGACCUGCUGGACCGUUCCUGACGCUGAUGCACGAAAGCGUGGGUAGCAAACAGGAUUAGAUACCCGGGUAGUC